rnacentral:rRNA from 1 species
GACGAACGCUGGCGGCGUGCUUAACACAUGCCAGUCGAACGGAAAGGCCCUGCUUUUGUGGGGUGCUCGAGUGGCGAACGGGUGAGUAACACGUGAGUAAACUGCCCUUGACUUUGGGAUAACUUCAGGAAACUGGGGCUAAUACCGGAUAGGAGCUCCUGCUGCAUGGUGGGGGUUGGAAAGUUUCGGCGGUUGGGGGUGGACUCGCGGCUUAUCAGCUUGUUGGUGGGGUAGUGGCUUACCAAGUCUUUGACGGGUAGCCGGCCUGAGAGGGUGACCAGCGACAUUGCGACUGAGAUACGGACCAGAAUCCUACGUGAGGCAGCAGUGGCAAAUAUUGCACAAUGGGCGGAAGCCUGAUGCAGCAACGCCGCGUGCGUAAUGACCGCCUUCGGGUUGUAAACCGCUUUCGCCUGUGACGAAGCGUGAGUGACGGUAAUGGGUAAAGAAGCACCGGCUAACUACGUG